rnacentral:rRNA from 1 species
CCUACGGGAGGCAGCAGUGAGGAAUAUUGGGCAAUGGACGAGAGUCUGAAGCAGCCAAGUAGCGUGAAGGAUGACUGCCCUAUGGGUUGUAAACUUCUUUUAUAUGGGAAUAAAAUGUUCCACGUGUGGGAUUUUGUAUGUCCCAUAUGAAUAAGGAUGCGCUAACUCCGUGCCAGCAGCCGCGGUAAUACGGAGGAUCCGAGCGUUAUCCGGAAUUAUUGGGUUUAAAGGGAGCGUAGGUGGAUUGUUAAGUCAGUUGUGAAAGUUUGCGGCUCAACCUUAAAAUUGCAGUUGAAACUGGCAGUCUUGAGGACAGUAGAGGUAGGCGGAAUUCGUGGUGUAGCGGUGAAAUGCGUAGAUAGCACGAAGAACUCCGAUUGCGAAGGCAGUUCACUGGACUGCAACUGACACUGAGGCUCGAAAGUGUGGGUAUCAAACAGGAUUAGAUACCCUAGUAGUC